CAACGACGAUCACGACGACUUCUACGACAACAAGAGAUGUGCAUGCAUACGAAUAGCGUAAGUACGAUUUUCUUGUCGGUUUGAUCAACCCGACCAUCUUCGUGAUAGGUUUCGAACCGAUCAAAUUUGACAUCAAAUCGUCACUUUCGCCAUGUGUAUGCAUCGCUAAUCUCUAAAUCGUGCGGCCAUCUUCGCGAUAGGCUCGACAUGGUCGAAAUUGUUGAUCGAGCACCGAAUAUUUUGCUACGUAAACCGUGCGGCCAUCUUCGCGAUAGGCUCGACAUGGUCAAAAUGGUUGAUCGAGCGGCCAUCUUCGUGAUAGGCUCAAUACGAUCAAGCCUGUUUAUUUUACUACAUAAACCGUGCGGUCAUCUUCGCGAUAGGCUCGACAUGGUCAAAAUGGUUGAUCGAGUGGCCAUCUUCGUGAUAGGCUCGACACGAUUAAACCCGGCGUACUUGAACAAAACGUGGUAAAAAUAAUAAUAAUAAUAAUGAAAAUAAAAAAAUGGAUGGGUACUGUUUUGAUUCGCCAUCUUAGUGAUAGGCAUUUCUCGAACCAUAUGCCAUCUUCGUUCGAUUCGAUUGUAUUGCUAUUUUCGUGAUAAGCAUCACCAUCUUCAUGAUAGGCUCGACGUGAUAAAAAAAAAGGACGAAAUUUCGUAUAUUUGGAAAAAAAAUGAAUAAACAAACAAAAAAAAA
rnacentral:lncRNA from 1 species